rnacentral:lncRNA from 1 species
GCGUUGCCGCCGACUCGCGAGCACCCGCACGAAAAAAUGGCGCGACGCUCUCGCGCCGCGUUUUCCGGGUUGCCAGACAACAUAACUCCCAACGACAUGAAUUGACGCUGUAACUGCGUACAUA